GACGAACGCUGGCGGCGUGCUUAACACAUGCAAGUCGAACGAAGUGGCGAACGGGUGAGUAACGCGUAAUCAACCUGCCCUUCAGCGGGGGACAACAGUUGGAAACGACUGCUAAUACCGCAUACUGAAGGAGGGGCUUGCGUCUGAUUAGCUAGUUGGCGGGGUAACGGCCCACCAAGGCGAUGAUCAGUAGCCGGGCUGGUAGGAGGAACGGCCACAUGGGGACUGAGAAACGGCCCAGACUACUACGGGAGGAAGCAGGGGGGAAUCUUCCGCAAUGGACGAAAGUCUGACGGAGCAACGCCGCGUGAGGGAUGACGGCCUUCGGGUUGUAAAGCUCUGUUAAUCGGGACGCGGUACCGGAAUAGAAAGCCACGGCUAACUACGUGCCAGCAGCCGCGGUAAUUC
rnacentral:rRNA from 1 species